rnacentral:lncRNA from 1 species
CGGGCCUCUGUACCGGUACACAUGCCAACCCGAGAGCAAUCUGCGCGCAACCUGCUGAAGUGUACCGGUACACCUUGAUGGCUGUACCGGUACAACAAGCAGAAAAACUGCUAUUUUGCAGAUUUCUUCGCUGAAAGCUGCCAUCGCGUCGCACGGAGUCCGUUUUGCGUCUAUUUGGCGCCAACGCGACUCAGACUUGUCUCGACACUCUACAGAGCUGUCGACAAGCCUCCACAGCUGAACACCAGGGAUCUCACAUUUUGUGACAAUAAUACCCUCGCAUUUAUAUCAUAUUUUCUAUCUAUGCGUUUCUCAAAUAUUUUUCUUCUCACGUGUAAUAUCCGCACCCGCCAAUUCUUUCACAACGUAAUAUCCGUAAAUUUCUCAAAUAUCUCAUUAAUUCACCAACCAUAUACAUCCACCAUCUACAUAAUAUAUAUACAGUUAACCUUUCUCAUACGUAAUAUGACCUAUCAUAAUUUUGAAUUGAACAUAUCAUUAUAUUUGAAUUUAAAUAUUAAAAUGUUUCAAAAUUAAAUUUUAAAUCAAAUAUGAAUUUUAUUGCAAAAAUAUCUUUAUCUUUUUAACUAAUUUCUCAUACAUAAUAUGACCUAUCAUAAUUUUGAAUUAAACAUAUCAUCGUAUUUGAAUUUAAAUAUUAGCGUAAUAUCCGCACCCGUCAAUUUUUUCGCAACGUAAUAUCCAUGAAUUUCUUAAAUAUCUCAUCAUUAACCACCUACCAUACACAUCCACCACCUAUAUAACUCAUCAUUAAUCCACCUACCAUACACAUCCACCACCUACAUAAUAUCCGGUUAAUCUUUCUUAUACGUAAUAUGACCUAUCAUAAUUUUGAAUUAAACAUAUCAUCGUAUUUGAAUUUAAAUAUUAAAAUGAUUCAAAAUUAAAUUUUAAAUCAAAUAUGAAUUUUAUUGCGAAAAUAUCUUUAUCUUUUUAACUAAUUUUUUCAUGUCCAAAAAUU